CAAGUCGAGGGGCAACGGGGAUGUUAGCUUGCUAAUAUCUGCCGGCGACCGGCGCACGGGUGAGUAACGCGUAUGCGACCUGCCCGUCACAGGGGGAUAAUCCGGAGAAAUCCGGUCUAAUACCGCAUAAUAUCGUGAAGCUGCAUGGUUUUGCGAUUAAAGGAGCGAUCCGGUGACGGAUGGGCAUGCGUGACAUUAGCUAGUCGGCGGGGUAACGGCCCACCGAGGCGACGAUGUAUAGGGGUUCUGAGAGGAAGGUCCCCCACACUGGUACUGAGACACGGACCAGACUCCUACGGGAGGCAGCAGUGAGGAAUAUUGGUCAAUGGGCUUACGCCUGAACCAGCCAAGUCGCGUGAGGGAAGACUGCCCUAUGGGUUGUAAACCUCUUUUGUCAGGGAGCAACGCCGGCUACGUGUAGCCGGACUGAGAGUACCCGAAGAAAAAGCAUCGGCUAACCCCGUGCCAGCAGCCGCGGUAAUACGGAGGAUGCGAGCGUUAUCCGGAUUUAUUGGGUUUAAAGGGUGCGCAGGCGGAAGAUCAAGUCAGCGGUAAAAUUGAGAGGCUCAACCUCUUCGAGCCGUUGAAACUGGUUUUCUUGAGUGAGCGAGAAGUAUGCGGAAUGCGUGGUGUAGCGGUGAAAUGCAUAGAUAUCACGCAGAACUCCGAUUGCGAAGGCAGCAUACCGGCGCUCAACUGACGCUCAUGCACGAAAGUGUGGGUAUCGAACAGGAUUAGAUACCCUGGUAGUCCACACAGUAAACGAUGAAUACUAAUUGUUCGGGGAGAAUGAUCCCUGAGUGAUACAGCGAAAGCGUUAAGUA
rnacentral:rRNA from 1 species